CCCUUAGAUGUUCUGGGCCGCACGCGUGUUACACUGAUGCGUUCAUCAAGACUUCUUGGCUCGAAAGGUCAUUCGAUAAUCUCGAAAGCGCAUCGUGCUGGGGAUCGACUAUUGUAAUUUUUAGUCGUCAACGAGGAAUUUCUAGUAAGCGCGAGUCAUCAACUCGCAUUGAUUACGUCCCUGUCCUUUGUACACACCGCCCGUCGCUACUACCGAUUGAAUCAUUUGGUGAGGUCUGCGGACUGUCGGGGUUCAGCUUCGGCUGGCGAACUUCGGGAAGCAGCACGAACCUGAUGAUUUAGAGGAAGUAAAAGUCGUANCA
rnacentral:rRNA from 1 species